rnacentral:rRNA from 1 species
UACAGAGGGUGCAAGCGUUGUUCGGAAUUAUUGGGCGUAAAGGGCGCGUAGGCGGUGCGGUAAGUCUGCAGUGAAAUCUCUGGGCUCAACUCAGAGUCUGCUGUAGAAACUGCCGUGCUUGAGUGUGGGAGAGGUGAGUGGAAUUCCCAGUGUAGAGGUGAAAUUCGUAGAUAUUGGGAAGAACACCGGUGGCGAAGGCGGCUCACUGGCUCGUAACUGACGCUCAGGCGCGACAGCGUGGGGAUCAAACAGG